rnacentral:rRNA from 1 species
ACGGGUAGUAACACGUGGGUAACCUGCCUGUAAGACUGGGAUAACUCCGGGAAACCGGAGCUAAUACCGGAUAGUUCCUUGAACCGCAUGGUUCAAGGAUGAAAGACGGUUUCGGCUGUCACUUACAGAUGGACCGCGGCGCAUUAGCUAGUUGGUGGGGUAAUGGCUCACCAAGGCGACGAUGCGUAGCCGACCUGAGAGGGUGAUCGGCCACACUGGGACUGAGACACGGCCCAGACUCCUACGGGAGGCAGCAGUAGGAAUCUUCCGCAAUGGACGAAAGUCUGACGGAGCAACGCCGCGUGAGUGAUGAAGGUUUUCGGAUCGUAAAGCUCUGUUGUUAGGGAAGAACAAGUGCCGAGAGUAACUGCUCGCACUGACGUACUACAGAAAGCCACGGCUAACUACGUGCCAGCAGCCGCGGUAAUACGUAGGUGGCAAGCGUUGUCCGGAAUUAUUGGGCGUAAAGGGCUCGCAGGCGGUUUCUUAAGUCUGAUGUGAAAGCCCCCGGCUCACCGGGGAGGGUCAUUGGAAACUGGGAAACUUGAGUGCAGAAGAGGAGAGUGGAAUUCCACGUGUAGCGGUGAAAUGCGUAGAGAUGUGGAGGAACACCAGUGGCGAAGGCGACUCUCUGGUCUGUACUGACGCUGAGGAGCGAAAGCGUGGGGAGCGAACAGGAUUAGAUACCCUGGUAGUCCACGCCGUAAACGAUGAGUGCUAAGUGUUAGGGGGUUUCCGCCCCUUAGUGCUGCAGCUAACGCAUAAGCA